CCCUUAGAUGUUCUGGGCCGCACGCGCGCUACACUGAUGCAUUCAACGAGUCUAAAACCUGCUCUGAUAGGGGUGGGUAAUCUUUUGAAUGUGCAUCGUGAUUGGGAUAGAUGAUUGCAAUUUUUCAUCUUCAACGAGGAAUGCCUAGUAAACGCAAGUCAUCAGCUUGCAUUGAUUACGUCCCUGCCCUUUGUACACACCGCCCGUCGCUCCUACCGAUUGAAUGAUCCGAUGAAUAUCAUGGAUUGAGGAUUAUAGCAGGUUCGCCUGUCUUGAUCUUCGAGAAGUGAAGUAAAUCUUAUCAUUUAGAGGAAGGAGAAGUCGUAACG
rnacentral:rRNA from 1 species